CGUGCGCAGGCGGUGAUGUAAGACAGUUGUGAAAUCCCCGGGCUCAACCUGGGAACUGCAUCUGUGACUGCAUCGCUGGAGUGCGGCAAAGGGGGAUGGAAUUCCGCGUGUAACAGUGAAAUGCGUAAAUAUGCGGAGGAACACCGAUGGCGAAGGCAAUCCCCUGGGCCUGCACUGACGCUCAUGCACAAAAGCGUGGGGAGCAAACAGGAUUAAAUACCCUGGUAGUCCACGCCCUAAACGAUGUCAACUGGUUGUUGGGUUUUUAUUAACUCAGUAACGAAGCUA
rnacentral:rRNA from 1 species